rnacentral:lncRNA from 1 species
GUUAUAAAAGAAACACAAGAAAAUCCUAAAAAAAUAUUAAAAUAAACUUAGUCAAACCUUAACAAAUAUCUAAUAGAACCUUAAAUUUUAACCAAAUCCUAAUCCUAAUCCAACGUUAAUCAAAUCCUAGACAAAUCCUAAAUCCUAAAUCAAACCCUAAUCAAACCUUAAUCCCUAACCAAACCCUAAUCCAAACCCUAAACCCUCAACCAAAUCCUAAUCCAAAUCCUAAACCCUAAACCAAAUCCUAUCCAAAUCUUAAAUCCUAAACCAAAUCCUAAUCCAAACCCCAAAUCCUAAACCAAAUCCUAAAUCCUAAAUCAAACCCUGAUCAAACCUUAAUCCCUAACCAAACCCUAAUCCAAACCCUAAAUCUUAAACCAAAUUCUAAUCUAAAUCU